AACGAACGUUAGCGGCGCGCCUAACACAUGCAAGUCGCACGAGAAAGGGCUUCGGCCCCAGUAAAGUGGCGCACGGGUGAGUAACACGUGGGUAACCUUCCCUUGAGCGGGGGAUAACAUUCCGAAAGGAGUGCUAAUACCGCAUAAGACCACGGCCUCGAAAGAGGCUGAGGUCAAAGCAGGCCUCUUCAUGAAAGCUUGCACUCGAGGAUGGGCCCGCGUCCCAUCAGCUAGUUGGUAGGGUAAUGGCCUACCAAGGCGAAGACGGGUAGCUGGUCUGAGAGGAUGAUCAGCCACACUGGAACUGAGACACGGUCCAGACUCCUACGGGAGGCAGCAGUGGGGAAUCUUGCGCAAUGGACGAAAGUCUGACGCAGCGACGCCGCGUGGGUGAUGAAGGCCUUCGGUUGUAAGCCUCGUGGGAGAGAGAAUUAGUACUGGCUAACAUCCAGUAUGAUGACGGUAGUCUCCUUAGUCAAGCACCGGCU
rnacentral:rRNA from 1 species